GUGGGGGAUAUUGCACAAUGGGGGAAACCCUGAUGCAGCGACGCCGCGUGAAGGAAGACGUACUUCGGUAUGUAAACUUCUAUCAGCAGGGAAGAAGAUGACGGUACCUGACUAAGAAGCCCCGGCUAACUACGUGCCAGCAGCCGCGGUAAUACGUAGGGGGCAAGCGUUAUCCGGAUUUACUGGGUGUACAGGGAGCGUAGACGGUGAAGCAAGUCUGAUGUGAAAACCCGGGGCUCAACUCCGGGAUUGCAUUGGAAACUGUUUUACUUGAGUGCUGGAGGGGCAAGCGGAAUUCCUGGUGUAGCGGUGAAAUGCGUAGAUAUCAGGAAGAACACCGGUGGCGAAGGCGGCUUGCUGGACAGUAACUGACGUUGAGGCUCGAAAGCGUGGGGAGCAAACAGGAUUAGAUACCCCGGUAGUCC
rnacentral:rRNA from 1 species